rnacentral:rRNA from 1 species
GACGAACCGAGCGAACGUUGUUCGGAAUCACUGGGCUUAAAGGGCGCGUAGGCGGGCUGCCGCGUCCGGGGUGAAAUCCCACGGCUCAACCGUGGAACGGCCCCGGGUACGGGCGGCCUCGAGGGGGGUAGGGGCGUGCGGAACUGUGGGUGGAGCGGUGAAAUGCGUUGAGAUCCACAGGAACUCCGGUGGCGAAGGCGGGUAGCUGGGCCGACACUGACGCUGAGGCGCGAAAGCCAGGGGAGCGAACGGG